GAUAAACGCUGGCGGCGCACAUAAGACAUGCAAGUCGAACGGACUUAAUCCAUUCUUUUAGAUUGGAAGCGGUUAGUGGCGGACUGGUGAGUAAAACGUAAGCAACCUGGCUAUCAGAGGGGAACAACAGUUAGAAAUGACUGCUAAUACCGCAUAUGCCAUGAGUAUCGCAUGAUACAAGUGGGAAAGGAGCAAUCCGCUGAUAGAUGGGCUUACGGCUGAUUAGCUAGUUGGUGGGGUAAAGGCUUACCAAGGCGACGAUCAGUAGCCGGACUGAGAGGUUCAACGGCCACAUUGGGACUGAGAUACGGCCCAGACUCC
rnacentral:rRNA from 1 species